AUUCUUUUGUAGUUCAUUAGUGUGAUGAUUGGGUGAUCCUACUUUUGUGUGACAUGUGUCUCCCACAAACCUUGCUAGGACAUCAGCACAUUACCCAUCUGGCA